GGAGGUAAAUGUCCUCUAGGUUAUACUAUAGGACACGUCAGUGCAGAUCAUGAUAUUACACUAAAGCCGCUGAAUUACCUUAAUGAUUGGAAUUUUAUAUAUUGUUUUGGACAUUCCUUGUGAGGAUGGUUUCAGAUUUGUAAGUGGUAAUUGCCCUGAUCCUGGUGACCCUUGCCCUCUGUGGAUUCCUGUUGUACCGAUACCUGUGCCACAGCAAGGGUGUUUACAGAACCGCAGGUGAGCCUGCACCAGGAGUGGACCCAGAACAGGUCUACAAUGACACCACCGUCACUGACAAUAAGAAGGAAUACUUCAUCUGAACUGCUUAGCAUCAGAGGGAUUCAACCAAUGAUCUGCCUAAAAUUGCAUGGACUGCUCCAGACAUCUAAAUAGCCUAUAUAGAGAGUUUUAUAUGCAAGACAUAUGGGACAUGAGCCACUAGUCUGUGCUGUGGAGAAGAAUGUUUAGUUGAAGGGAUACCGUUUGAGCCAGAAGUAAAAGGAGUUGUUCGUUCAUGAUGUCAAUAACCUCAACAUCGAUUUUGGUAUGGUAAAGUUAUUGUCAGUUACUGGGACAAUCUUUUUUUUUUUUGCUGUCAAAUUGUUAUGCCUGUAUAUAGUUUAUAUAUCCAAACUGUAUAUUCGCUACUUCAGCAGAAAUUACACAAAAGUGCAUAUGCAAGAGUUAGAAUUUGAAUUAUUGAUCAGUAAUUAUUACGAGUUAUUAUCAGCUAUUAUUAGAACUCUAACAAUUGCCAAACAUUGGAGGCACUGUACAAAUUUGAUUUUGAGUCAUAAGUCACUUUAAUGUUCAUGUGUGGCCUUUUUCCUGUUAACCAUUUGGCCUGACUUUUUAUUAUUUAUUAAUGGCAGCAUUUUUAGUAGAAUAGUUGGAGAGCCCACUGUUACCUUGUAAAACAUUUAAAUAUAUUUUACAAAUUUUUUUUUUUUUUGAAAUUGACACGUUUUAUAAUUCAAGAUUGUGUUUUUGUUACAUAGCCAUGCUGUAACAGUGCCAAAUUAUAUAUAUAUAUUACCUCUGUCAUUAUUUGUAAAACAUGCAUGUGAUACUGUAUAUUUUUUGUUUUGUGCAGGGUUACAAUAGUAUCUUACUUAAGAAAAUGAAUGUAAUUUAUAUCA